AAAGCUUACACUUUUUUUAGGAUACGUAUUUACUUUAUAGAUUAUAAACACGACCAAGGUUAUAUCCGAAAUAUGGGUUCCGACACGAAAUGAUACGGGUCGGGACGAAAAAAGGAUAAAAAACAUGUUUAAUGGCAAAAAGGGGCGAAAUGGGUUAAAUAAUGAAAUGGUAAAUAAAUACCAUUCAAAUAUAAGUGCAAAAUGUUUGGUCGUUUAGACUAAACAGGUCAAAUGGUAAUGUUAACACCAUUUGACGAAUAACGACUAACAAGUGCAUGUCGAGUCUAAUGCUCACAGGGUAAAACGGCUUAUGGAAUUUACGUGGCUAUGAAUCAGCAAAUUAUUAAGGCAAGGUAUUAAAACAGGUCAAUACUUUGACCCGCGCCAGGUACAUUUUGGAUGCCGGAAGACGAUCAAGCUCGACGAAGGACCGAACACGAUAUAGAUACAUGCUUCCGCACUUUAACACAUUGCAAAUAUUAAACAACGAAUUCAACCACGUUAUGUAGAAUAACUUAUGAAUUGUAAAAGUUUUAAUAAAUUCGUAUUUUUAUAGUAUGUGUAGGCUUAACUACACAUCUAA